rnacentral:rRNA from 1 species
CCUACGGGAGGCAGCAGUAGGGAAUAUUGGGCAAUGGACGAGAGUCUGACCCAGCCAUGCCGCGUGCAGGAAGACGGCGUUCUGCGUUGUAAACUGCUUUUAUCUGGGAAGAAAAGGCCCCUGCGGGGGACAUUGCCGGUACCAGAUGAAUAAGCACCGGCUAACUCCGUGCCAGCAGCCGCGGUAAUACGGAGGGUGCAAGCGUUGUCCGGAUUUAUUGGGUUUAAAGGGUGCGUAGGCGGCUGUUUAAGUCAGUGGUGAAAGACUCCGGCUCAACCGGGGCAGUGCCAUUGAUACUGGACAGCUUGAGUAUUGGAGGGGUACAUGGAAUUGACGGUGUAGCGGUGAAAUGCAUAGAUACCAUCAGGAACACCGAUAGCGAAGGCAUUGUACUGGCCAAUAACUGACGCUGA